AAACGCCUCCCAAAUGCCGCAAGUUGGCAUGCCGGUAGUGACAUCGCACUCCGCGACCGGAUACGGGCAACCGCGGAGCAACGAGCAAGCGAUUCCGUAUGAACCUGAAGAAAGAAAAAGAAUGCGGUGCUAAUAACAAAGCCUUUAACUGUGUCAUGCUCAAUUUUAUUGAUCGUGCGCAAUUUGAUCACAAUGAGUAAUCAUGAAAAUUUCUGAACGCUUAGGUCUUU